AGGAGGAACAACCCCAGUGGCGGCGGCAGCUCUGGAAACCUGGAUUCAGCUCCGGCAGGAACUCCGGAGGUCUCCGUCUGCAGGGCCUGGAGGCUCCGGGGCGGG
rnacentral:pre_miRNA from 1 species